GUCCUCGUGGCCUAGAGGAUGGGCACCAGCCUCCGGAGCUGGACGGACGCAGGUUCGAAUCCUGCCGAGGACG
rnacentral:tRNA from 1 species